GUGUGUUUGCCUCAGGGCCUCUGGUCUGGAUGAUGCAAUGGCUGACACCGCCCAGACUCUGCUCAGCUCAACGCACAUCCAUCCAGCUCUGACCUGCCUCCCUUGCCCUGAGGAUGAGGGCGCCCAUGAAGAGAGGAAGCUCAGAGGAGUUCAAACGCCGGCCCGGGUCCUACAGCUGCUGUCAGCCUGCCUGGUGAUAACACCAUGGCCACGGGAUUGCACAACUUCGUGAAGUCCUCACACCUUGGAAACACUCCAUUAACACGGUCAUCAUGAGCCAAGUGAAGAGCCGGACCGCAAUUACACCCUGUUCCACUCCAAGCGAGAGGAGCUGGUUCCGGAUGCUGCAGUGCCUGACACAGCGAUGCUGCAGCUGAAGGGCAUUUUAGGCGGGCGGCCAAGAGCACGUGUUCGCUGACCAGUGAGCUCAGCACCGGGUGAAAUGUUUCUUCUUAGAGACAAUGAAAAAUUAGAAUGCUGCGGAAAAGCUCACACAUGAUACCUAAUCUCGCUUCCUAUCGGAUUAAGGCUUGCGGUGCUGGUGGCGAGGGGAAAGAUUUUUCAGAAGUGCGGCGUACGGCAGAGAGUGGAGGACAGGGACGAAGACCUCUAACCCCACGUCUGCGAUACUUCACGUGGCGUUGUCCCCGAUCUCUUCUGUGGCGUCACCGUGGACCGGGCUGUCCUGCAUCCGGUCCGGCUGGCUCUGGCCCCGCUCACUCCAGGCCAUCCUGCUUCGCCCCGACAGACUGUCUGGAAGCACACAACCCCACUCAGAAACCGCGCAGGCCUCCCUGGACGACUGUCUCUAAAACACCCAUCCAAGCCGCCAGGCGAGACCUCGAACUUGCCGCCACAUGUUUUUCUGUCUCAUAGUCUAAUUAUAGGACCUGUGGUCCCCAAACAUCAUUGCCACCACCAGCAUCCUCACGAUGGCAAUUUUAAAAAUAAAAGCUAUUAAAUUGUGCAAA